GACGAACGCUGGCGGCGCGCUAACACAUGCAAGUCGAACGAGCGAGAGAGAGCUUGCUUUCUCGAGCGAGUGGCGAACGGGUGAGUAACGCGUGAGGAACCUGCCUCAAAGAGGGGGACAACAGUUGGAAACGACUGCUAAUACCGCAUAAGCCCACGGUGCCGCAUGGCACAGAGGGAAAAGGAGCAAUCCGCUUUGAGAUGGCCUCGCGUCCGAUUAGCUAGUUGGUGAGGUAACGGCCCACCAAGGCAACGAUCGGUAGCCGGACUGAGAGGUUGAACGGCCACAUUGGGACUGAGACACGGCCCAGACUCCUACGGGAGGCAGCAGUGGGGAAUAUUGCACAAUGGGGGAAACCCUGAUGCAGCGACGCCGCGUGGAGGAAGAAGGUCUUCGGAUUGUAAACUCCUGUUGUUGGGGAAGAUAAUGACGGUACCCAACAAGGAAGUGACGGCUAACUACGUGCCAGCAGCCGCGGUAAAACGUAGGUCACAAGCGUUGUCCGGAAUUACUGGGUGUAAAGGGAGCGCAGGCGGGAAGACAAGUUGGAAGUGAAAUCUAUGGGCUCAACCCAUAAACUGCUUUCAAAACUGUUUUUCUUGAGUAGUGCAGAGGUAGGCGGAAUUCCCGGUGUAGCGGUGGAAUGCGUAGAUAUCGGGAGGAACACCAGUGGCGAAGGCGGCCUACUGGGCACCAACUGACGCUGAGGCU
rnacentral:rRNA from 1 species